rnacentral:rRNA from 1 species
UACGUAGGUGGCAAGCGUUGUCCGGAAUUAUUGGGCGUAAAGCGCGCGCAGGCGGUCCUUUAAGUCUGAUGUUAAAGCCCACGGCUCAACCGUGGAGGGUCAUUGGAAACUGGGGGACUUGAGUACAGAAGAGAAGAGUGGAAUUCCACGUGUAGCGGUGAAAUGCGUAGAGAUGUGGAGGAACACCAGUGGCGAAGGCGACUCUUUGGUCUGUAACUGACGCUGAGGCGCGAAAGCGUGGGGAGCAAACAGG